CUGGAGAGGACUGGAGGCUUCUGUGUCAAAGUCCCGUCCAACUCCAACUCCUCUUUCCACCCUGUAGUUUCGAACCCACGUCGUGUCAGCUUGAAGAAGAUCGGCAACGACAGGUAGACGUAGGGGCGGACGCUUGACAGGAGAGGAAGAGAGAAGGCAACAGGCGCAUCUGCUGGUCUACAGCUGAUUCCAAUCCCGUCGGACGGACGUGGGCAGAGGGAGGCGCCGCGCAUCAAGCGCCAGCGGCGUGACAACCGUAUCUGCCUUCAGUGGGUACCCGGGCGUACAGGGCUGCACGGAAACACAUGUGCUGACGCGGCUGCGAGACGCGCCGCGCUUGAUGCGGCCACGCCGGUGCCCCUACUACCGCUCCCGGUGUUUGCGUGCCGCCUGCUUAUACGGCGUCUCUGCGGCGACGGCACCCGCCAGUUUGUUGUAGACGCUAUCCGACCUAAUGCGUUCCUGCAGUCCAUCGACCCCUCACUGGAGUUUGUCAUCGGCUGCCGCUGUACCCGCGAGGAGGAGAUCUUUCUACAUCGUCUCCGGCUGAACGUUGCCCUCACCCGUUCACUCCUGUUCAAAAUGGGCCGCGUCUCAUCUCCCACUUGCCCCUGCUGCGGUGUAGAAAACGAUAUCUCUCAUCAGCUCCUCCACUCUCAGCGUCACCACCAUCAUCGGGCCGUACUCUGGCAACAUCUCUCAGAGCUUGGGUGCACGGACGGACGGACAGACGUUUCUCUCGCAACACUCCUUGGCCCUGUGCAGCGAGCUAACCAGUGGAGAGUCACAAAAGCGGUGCUCCGCUUUCUGCGUAACACGGGUCUCCUGGGCUCCCUGUGAGCCCUGUGUUUCUCUCUCGACCCAGUGGGCAGUCACCACAGCGCUCCUCUGCUUUCUUCACGCUUCGAACCUUGUCAAAGCCUUGUGAUUGUGUGACUGUGUGUGUGACUCUUCAGUUUUAGUUUUGUGCUCUUCCUUUCCUUACCUUAUCUCCUUUGUUCUUAACUUUUUCUCUUUUCCUUUUCUUUUCUUAUUUUUCUUCUUUUCCUUUUCUUUUCAUUUCUUCUUCCCCUUUUCUCCUUCUUUCUUCCCCUUUUCCUUUCUUAUUUUUCUGUUCGUCCCCUUUUCUUUCCUUCUUCCCUUCUUUGCCUUUUUUUGUUUGGAAUAGCAAGCCGACCUUCGUCUGGCUGAUCUUUCCUUUCUUUUUCUUAAUAAACAUAUCCCCCCCCCGCAA